GAUGUGGAAACGACGUUGAUUCAACCAGUGUGUGCGGUGGGAUGUUCUGUAUCUUUAUAGGUCACCAGAUUGUAAAAUAAGAUUAGUAAACUUCACUGAAGAAAAUUGAGGGUCACUUAAGGAAGGAGACAAAAACAACAACAAAGUCUGCUUGUUUUGAAGCCUAAAGGUUACUGUUAGUUUGUAAUGCUAAACAUCAUCCUACAGACUGUGGUGAGCUUGUGGUAGGAGGCUGGCAUAGGGAGCGAACAGCCUCUCUCUCUUUCACAUCCUAAAGGUUACUGUUAGUUUGUAAUGCUAAACAUCAUCCUACAGACUGUGGUGAGCUUGUGGUAGGAGGCUGGCAUAGGGAGCGAACAGCCUUUCUCUCUUUCUCUCUCUCUCUCUCUCUCACAUCCUAGGGCUUGAACUUGCAAAAGCAGAGGGAGGGAGGCCUUAUGUGAUGUAACCCCUCAAGAUGCCUCCUAUCUUUUGGUUUAGCCAGUCCUGUUCUCUGCUAGUGGAGUGGUGCAGUGAGCCUGGGGCCCAAUGCUUGCUGGGGGUUGGAAUGACUUAGUGAGCGAGCGUGCUGGGGGCGGAUGUGGACUCUAUUUAGGGGUGGCAGCACUUACCGUUUUGGGGAGGGGUUCCCCAGUUUCUAUAGCGAGGGGAGUGGAUGUCUUAAACGCCAUGUGGCUUGUGCCUUCUAACACAGGAAUUUAAUCAAGGUCUUAAAAUAUCUGCCAAGCUUGGCUCUGUUGGUUUGUUAUGUUCCCAUGGAGUUGUGAGCUGCGGAAGAAGAAGGAGGAAGGGAGGAAAGGCAUGUGGGCCCUGAGUUUCAGGAAUGUUUUUCUUUGUCUUUUUUGGGGAGUAUGCUUCCACUCUUGUUUGAAGCCUGAGCAGUGACUCAUGGUUUUAAAUGACCAACGAUAUAUUAAUACAUCUUUAUACGAUUAACUAUAGUCCCAUUCCAGCCCCAAACCCAGCUAUAUGUUACUAAAUCCCUGUGCCUUGUACCCUGUGCAGUUCACUUAUGUGUUUACACACAAGAGCACAGCAUGUACCUGCUCACCACACCAACCGUUGGGUCUGAAUUAAACUCAACCACAACUUUGGCCUAAACUUGAUUUCAUAAAGCUCAGUGCAAUGCUUUCCUUUUGGCACUAGGUUUUAUGUGGAAAAGAUGUAAGCAUGUGAAACCUAUUUGCAUUGCCAUAAGUGCCAAAGUUGGGGACAAAGCUGUGGUUAAGUUGUCUGUUUCUAAGAUGUGGAAUUGUGUAGAGUUCUGUGCAGCAGUACAUAACAGCUUUCACCCUGCCUUUAUCUUUUCAGGAUAGAGCUCACACCUGACUUUACCUCUCUAUAAGCAACAUCGACAAGCACACUGUGAGUUAGGAAGGAUUAUGGUGCAGCUGAGUAGGCGAUGAAGAAACGGAAUGACUCUACACCCACACCUUUCUAUUCUUUACUUUGUUUUGUGAAAAGUGAUCACUGAAGAAGAACCUUUGAAACCUCUGCUGAGAAGAGCGAUCUCUUCUGUUGAUUGUCCGGCAACUUUGCUGUUGAUAUGGAAAAUAUAUGUUGCUUUUUGUCCUCUCCCCUUUUCUUUCCUUCUUUCUUACUUUUGAAGGAUGUGAAUUAAAGGCUAUUGCUCAA